GACGAACGCUGGCGGCGUGCUUAACACAUGCAAGUCGAACGGAAAGGCCCUGCUUUUGUGGGGUGCUCGAGUGGCGAACGGGUGAGUAACACGUGAGUAACCUGCCCUUGACUUUGGGAUAACUUCAGGAAACUGGGGCUAAUACCGGAUAGGAGCCCCUGCUGCAUGGUGGGGGUUGGAAAGUUUCGGCGGUUGGGGAUGGACUCGCGGCUUAUCAGCUUGUUGGUGGGGUAGUGGCUUACCAAGGCUUUGACGGGUAGCCGGCCUGGGAGGGUGACCGGCCACAUUGGGACUGAGAUACGGCCCAGACUCCUACGGGAGGCAGCAGUGGGGAAUAUUGCACAAUGGGCGGAAGCCUGAUGCAGCAACGCCGCGUGCGGGAUGACGGCCUUCGGGUUGUAAACCGCUUUCGCCUGUGACGAAGCGUGAGUGACGGUAAUGGGUAAAGAAGCACCGGCUAACUACGUG
rnacentral:rRNA from 1 species